GAUGAACGCUGGCGGCGUGCUUAACACAUGCAAGUCGAACGGAAAGGCCCAAGCUUGCUUGGGUACUCGAGUGGCGAACGGGUGAGUAACACGUGGGUGAUCUGCCCUGCACUUCGGGAUAAGCCUGGGAAACUGGGUCUAAUACUGGAUAGGACCACUUCUUGGAUGGUGUGGUGGAAAGUUUUUUCGGUGUGGGAUGAGCUCGCGGCCUAUCAGCUUGUUGGUGGGGUAAUGGCCUACCAAGGCGUCGACGGGUAGCCGGCCUGAGAGGGUGUACGGCCACAUUGGGACUGAGAUACGGCCCAGACUCCUACGGGAGGCAGCAGUGGGGAAGAUUGCACAAUGGGCGCAAGCCUGAUGCAGCGACGCCGCGUGGGGGAUGACGGCCUUCGGGUUGGAAACUCCUUUCGCUAGGGACGAAGCGUUUUUGUGACGGUACCGGGAGAAGAAGCACCGGCUAACUACGU
rnacentral:rRNA from 1 species